GUAGUUAGUUUGCUCAACUUGAAAGCAAGUUACUGAUCGUAUUACUGCAGCGUUACUCGUCCAACGCUCAUAAAUUCAGUGGAAGUCAAGAAUGAUAGAAUACUAUAUGUAUAUACACUUGUUCUGCAGGAUUAUGGACAAAUAUUUAGUUUUUUUGUAACCCAAAUUAUAACAUGAUUCUUAGUGAUUUCCAUUCCCGGUUUGUUUUACAAAAACUUUUUGGCCCUAUCGUACACUUAUAAUAUUAAUUUGUUAAAUGUAUCUUGUUUUAACAUAAUUGAAUAUUGUAAAGAGGUACUUAGUUAAAACAUGCAGGCAAUAAAUGUGGUAACCAUGCCUUUAAAUAUUGGACACUAGAUGCCGCGCUAAUUCUAGAAGAAGGUUCGCUUCCUGAUUCAUUGUUCAAUUUUUGGAUUUCGAUCUGAGGGAGAACACGUGUGAAGUAAUUUUAGAGUAUUUGUCUUGUAACAAUAAAGGAGUUUGGCUGGACAACGGAAAUGUCUAGUUUAGUAUGGGGUAAUACGUAAAAGAUCAACAUUUGGGGACUAACUGAACCUAAAAAGUUUUCUACACCGUAGAAUGGAAUUCCAUUUCAUCGUUUUUAUAGGAUGAUGAAUGUCUUGUGAAACAAAGUCUAGUUCCUCAUGGUUAGAUGUGGAAAAAUCUGUGAAAAGAUUAAAAAUAGGCAUGAGAAACAUAACCAUAUGGAUCAAAUGCUAGCUGCUAUAUAUAUUGUACAGGAUACCCUUAAAAAAUGGAUCUGUGGAAGUAACUAGAAUGACGAAGGCCGAGACGAUAAUUUCUUUACAUAUAAAUAAAAUUGUAUUGCAUUUAAUAAAAUAAUAAAUAUAUGUUACAGCUACUUGCAUCCUAA